UUUAUGGAGAGUUUGAUCCUGGCUCAGGAUGAACGCUGGCGGCGUGCCUAAUACAUGCAAGUCGAGCGAACGGACGAGAAGCUUGCUUCUCUGAUGUUAGCGGCGGACGGGUGAGUAACACGUGGAUAACCUACCUAUAAGACUGGGAUAACUUCGGGAAACCGGAGCUAAUACCGGAUAAUAUUUUGAACCGCAUGGUUCAAAAGUGAAAGACGGUCUUGCUGUCACUUAUAGAUGGAUCCGCGCUGCAUUAGCUAGUUGGUAAGGUAACGGCUUACCAAGGCAACGAUGCAUAGCCGACCUGAGAGGGUGAUCGGCCACACUGGAACUGAGACACGGUCCAGACUCCUACGGGAGGCAGCAGUAGGGAAUCUUCCGCAAUGGGCGAAAGCCUGACGGAGCAACGCCGCGUGAGUGAUGAAGGUCUUCGGAUCGUAAAACUCUGUUAUUAGGGAAGAACAUAUGUGUAAGUAACUGUGCACAUCUUGACGGUACCUAAUCAGAAAGCCACGGCUAACUACGUGCCAGCAGCCGCGGUAAUACGUAGGUGGCAAGCGUUAUCCGGAAUUAUUGGGCGUAAAGCGCGCGUAGGCGGUUUUUUAAGUCUGAUGUGAAAGCCCACGGCUCAACCGUGGAGGGUCAUUGGAAACUGGAAAACUUGAGUGCAGAAGAGGAAAGUGGAAUUCCAUGUGUAGCGGUGAAAUGCGCAGAGAUAUGGAGGAACACCAGUGGCGAAGGCGACUUUCUGGUCUGUAACUGACGCUGAUGUGCGAAAGCGUGGGGAUCAAACAGGAUUAGAUACCCUGGUAGUCCACGCCGUAAACGAUGAGUGCUAAGUGUUAGGGGGUUUCCGCCCCUUAGUGCUGCAGCUAACGCAUUAAGCACUCCGCCUGGGGAGUACGACCGCAAGGUUGAAACUCAAAGGAAUUGACGGGGACCCGCACAAGCGGUGGAGCAUGCGGUUUAAUUCGAAGCAACGCGAAGAACCUUACCAAAUCUUGACAUCCUUUGACAACUCUAGAGAUAGAGCCUUCCCCUUCGGGGGACAAAGUGACAGGUGGUGCAUGGUUGUCGUCAGCUCGUGUCGUGAGAUGUUGGGUUAAGUCCCGCAACGAGCGCAACCCUUAAGCUUAGUUGCCAUCAUUAAGUUGGGUACUCUAAGUUGACUGCCGGUGACAAACCGGAGGAAGGUGGGGAUGACGUCAAAUCAUCAUGCCCCUUAUGAUUUGGGCUACACACGUGCUACAAUGGACAAUACAAAGGGUAGCGAAACCGCGAGGUCAAGCAAAUCCCAUAAAGUUGUUCUCAGUUCGGAUUGUAGUCUGCAACUCGACUACAUGAAGCUGGAAUCGCUAGUAAUCGUAGAUCAGCAUGCUACGGUGAAUACGUUCCCGGGUCUUGUACACACCGCCCGUCACACCACGAGAGUUUGUAACACCCGAAGCCGGUGGAGUAACCUUUUAGGAGCUAGCCGUCGAAGGUGGGACAAAUGAUUGGGGUGAAGUCGUAACAAGGUAGCCGUAUCGGAAGGUGCGGCUGGAUCACCUCCUUU
rnacentral:rRNA from 1 species